UACAGAGGUCCCCGAGCGUUGUUCGGAUUCAUUGGGCGUAAAGGGUGCGUAGGCGGCGGGGUAAGUCUGAUGUGAAAUCCCCGGGGCUCAACCCUGGAACUGCAUUGGAUACUGCCUUGCUUGAGAACUGGAGAGGAGACUGGAAUUUACGGUGUAGCAGUGAAAUGCGCAGAUAUCGGGAAGAACACCCGUGGCGAAGGCGGCACUCUGGGACGGUACUGACGCUGAGACGCGAAAGCGUGGGGAGCGAA
rnacentral:rRNA from 1 species